GAUUAUGGCUCAGGAUGAACGCUAGCUACAGGCUUAACACAUGCAAGUCGAGGGGCAGCAUGGCGAUAGCUUGCUAUUGUUGAUGGCGACCGGCGCACGGGUGAGUAACGCGUAUCCAACCUGCCCUUGUCCAUCGGAUAACCCGUCGAAAGGCGGCCUAACACGAUAUGCAGUUCUCAGCAGGCAUCUAACGAGAACGAAGUGUAAAGGAGAAGGAUGGGGAUGCG
rnacentral:rRNA from 1 species